UACGUAGGUGGCAAGCGUUGUUCGGAAUUAUUGGGCGUAAAGGGCGCGUAGGCGGUCUUGUAAGUCAGCUGUGAAAGCCCGGGGCUCAACCCCGGAGGGUCGGCUGAUACUGCAGGACUGGAGUACGGAAGAGGUAGCUGGAAUUCCCGGUGUAGCGGUGAAAUGCGUAGAUAUUGGGAGGAACACCAGUGGCGAAGGCGGCUACCUGGACCGGUUCUGACGCUGAGGCGCGAAAGCGUGGGUAGCAAACAGG
rnacentral:rRNA from 1 species